AUUGAACGCUGGCGGCAGGCCUAACACAUGCAAGUCGAACGAGUGGCGGACGGGUGAGUAAUGUCUGGGAAACUGCCCGAUGGAGGGGGAUAACUACUGGAAACGGUAGCUCAUACCGCAUACCAUCGGAUGUGCCCAGAUGGGAUUAGCUAGUAGGUGGGGUAACGGCUCACCUAGGCGACGAUCCCUAGCUGGUCUGAGAGGAGGACAAGCCACCCUGGAAGUGCGACACGGUCCAGACUCCUACGGGAGGCAGCAUUGGGGAAUAUUGCACAAUGGGCGCAAGCCUGAUGCAGCCAUGCCGCGGGUAUGAAGAAGGCCUUGGGGUUGUAAAGUACUUUCAGAGAGGAGGCGUGACUCGCAGAAGAAGCACCGGCUAACUCCGUGCCAGCAGCCGCGGUAAUAC
rnacentral:rRNA from 1 species